CCCUUAGAUGUUCUGGGCUGCACGCGCGCUACACUGAUGCGAUCAACAAGUUUUUCCUAUGUCGAUAGACACGGGUAAUCUUUUGAACUCGCAUCGUGAUGGGGAUAGAUUAUUGUAAUUAUUAAUCUUCAACGAGGAAUUCCUAGUAGGUGCAAAUCAUCAGUUUGCAUCGAUUACGUCCCUGCCCUUUGUACACACUGCCCGUCGCUGCUACCGAUUGGUUGAUCUGGUGAAUUAUUCGGACUGCCGGCUGAAGGGGUUUCCUCAUCUGCCAGCGGAAAGUCUUGUUAACCCUAUCAACUAGAGGAAGCAGAAGUCGUAACA
rnacentral:rRNA from 1 species